AAAUGAAUAGACGGGGGCCCGCACAAGCGGUGGAGCAUGUGGUUCAAUUCGACGCAACGCGAAGAACCUUACCAGCUUUUGACAUGUCCGGUAUGGGCACCAGAGAUGGAGCCCUUCAGUUCGGCUGGCCGGAACACAGGUGCUGCAUGGCUGUCGUCAGCUCGUGUCGUGAGAUGUUGGGUUAAGUCCCGCAACGAGCGCAACCCUCGUCCCUAGUUGCCAUCAUUCAGUUGGGCACUCUAGGGAGACUGCCGGUGAUAAGCCGCGAGGAGGGUGGGGAUGACGUCAAGUCCUCAUGGCCCUUACAGGCUGGGCUACACACGUGCUACAAUGGCGGUGACAGUGGGAAGCGAACCCGCGAGGGGGAGCUAAUCUCAAAAAACCGUCUCAGUUCGGAUUGCACUCUGCAACUCGAGUGCAUGAAGUUGGAAUCGCUAGUAAUCGUGGAUCAGCAUGCCACGGUGAAUACGUUCCCGGGCCUUGUACACACCGCCCGU
rnacentral:rRNA from 1 species